rnacentral:lncRNA from 1 species
UACGAGCUACUACCUACACCAACUAACCCUACAUCAUAGAGAGCACUACAUACCACAAACUAACCACAUCAUACAGCACUACUACAUACCACCAACUAACCCUACAUCUACUGCAUAAGCACACUACAACCACCAACUAACCCACAUCAUAGAGCUACUACAUACCACCAACAACCCUACACAUAUAGAGCUCUACAGAACACCAACUACCCUACAUCAUACGCAGCUACUACUACCACCAACUAAACCCUAAAUCUAUACAGAGCUACUACAUACCACCAACUAACCCUAAAUCUUCUGCAUAUAGCACUACUACAUACCACCAACUAACCCUUCAUCUAUACAGAGC